rnacentral:rRNA from 1 species
UACGUAGGGGGCAAGCGUUAUCCGGAUUUACUGGGCGUAAAGAGCGCGUAGGCGGAAAUUUAAGCGUGGCCUGAAAGCCCCCGGCUCAACUGGGGAGGGUCACGCGAUACUGUUCGACUCGAAGGCAGGAGAGGGUAGUGGAAUUCCCGGUGUAGUGGUGAAAUGCGUAGAUAUCGGGAGGAACACCAGUGGCGAAGGCGACUACCUGGCCUGUUCUUGACGCUGAGGCGCGAAAGCUAGGGUAGCAAACGGG